GUUUGGCACAACAGUACGCAUAAGAAGGCUUAUGCUGUAGGGCUCUAUACAGCAUAAAGAAGGCAGGUCAAAUUUUGGGCGUAUGGCUCAGAUAAAACUAGGAAGACCAUUUUUGGGUGUGACUCCUGAGGAUGAAGGACUUCUUCAAGCCAUUUAAAACCUCUGCAUGACCACAACCGAAGGAAAAAAAGAGACACCAGAUGCCAGGUCUUCCAACAAGAUGUCAGUAUAUUAAAGAUAAUGCAGCGAUUCUUGCACUAUCUUUAAUUUGGACUUCGGGGAUGCCAUGCCAUCAGCAACCUGGCAUGACAGAGAGGAUGUCUGCUGGUCUUGCCAGGAUGUUGGCAAGAUGCCACCGCUGUCACCUUCUCUGAUGGGGUUAUCCUUUGAUCUAUCUACUGAAGCCUUGAAUCAAGAUGCUAUCUUUGGCCUUCAAAGCCCUAAACAUCUUGGAGACCAUCCAGUGAAUCUUGGAAAUAGUGGUCUGAACAUAUCAUUCCACUUUUGUCAACAGUUGAAGACAAAGCAGUAAAGCAGUUGAAGACAAUAAACGCCUCUUACAAAAUUUUGUACUGGUAUUC
rnacentral:lncRNA from 1 species